rnacentral:rRNA from 1 species
UGCCCUACGGGACGCAGCAGUGAGGAAUAUUGGUCAAUGGGCUUACGCCUGAACCAGCCAAGUCGCGUGAGGGAAGACUGCCCUAUGGGUUGUAAACCUCUUUUGUCAGGGAGCAACGCCGGCUACGUGUAGCCGGACUGAGAGUACCUGAAGAAAAAGCAUCGGCUAACUCCGUGCCAGAAGCAGCGGUAAUACGGAGGAUGCGAGCGUUAACCGGAUUUAUUGGGUUUAAAGGGUGCGUAGGCGGAAUGCCAAGUCAGCGGU